GACGAACGCUGGCGGCGUGCUUAACACAUGCAAGUCGAACGAAGUGGCAAACGGGUGAGUAACGCGUAAUCAAACUUCCCUUCAGAGGGGGACAACAGUUGGCAACGACUGCUAAUACCGCAUACUGAAGGAGGGGAUUGCGUCUGAUUAGCUAGUUGGAGGGGUAACGGCCCACCAAGGAGAUGAUCAGUAGCAGGUCGGAGAGGAUGAACGGCCACAUUGGGACUGAGACACGGCCCAGACUCCGACGGGAGGCAGCAGUGGGGAAUCUUCCGCAAUGGACGAAAGUCUGACGGAGCAACGCCGCGUGAGUGAUGACGGCCUUCGGGUUGUAAAGCUCUGUUAAUCGGGACGCGGUACCGGAAUAGAAAGCCACGGCUAACUACGUGCCAGCAGCCGCGGUAAUAC
rnacentral:rRNA from 1 species